rnacentral:rRNA from 1 species
GGGUCAGUAGGUUGGUCGUGCCACCGGUACGUACUGGUCUCACUGAUUCCUCCUUCCUGAAGAACCGUAAUGCCAUUAAUUUGGUGUUGCGGGGAAACAGGACUGCUACUUUGAAAAAAUUAGAGUGUUUAAAGCAAGCUAACGCUUGAAUACAUUAGCAUGGAAUAAUGAAAUAGGACGAUCGAUCCUAUUUUGUUGGUUUCUAGGAUUGACGGA